GCAUGGACGUCAUUAUUAAUUAUGAUCAAGAUCUUUAAAAUCGUAUAAUAAAACAAUAUCGUAUUCGUUUUCAAAGGAUAACAAUAUUUUCCAAUUACUUUGAGGAACAUGGGCGCACAUAGGAGGUACUUAGCACCCACAGACUUCAAAUUAACACCCCGGGUUUCCCUGAAUAAUCUAUAUCAGUAUUUUACCAAUUAUUUGUAAAUUAUCGUGGUUUAUUGGUUUGAAUAAAAUGUAUAUUUAUUCCCAUUUCAAGUUCGAGAAUUCGCGAUUAAAACAACGGCGUGGCACAAUUCAGUUAUCGUUUAAAUAUUAAACAGCAAUCGUCCAAUAUAUCAUUACAUCUCAAUUUAGAUUAUUUACAUUGAGACGUCCCGGUUCGGUGAUCCGGCCUUGUGUGGUCACCGUUC